UAUCUCUGUAGAGUCUGCAUAUCAAUAAGCGGAGGAAAAGAAACUAACAAGGAUUCCCUUAGUAACGGCGAGUGAAGCGGGAAGAGCUCAAAUUUGAAAUCUUCAAGGUUCUACCUUGACGAAUUGUAGUUUAAAGAGGUGUUUUCUGUUAGAUGAGUAGCAAAAGUUCCUUGGAAUGGGACAUCAUAGAGGGUGAGAAUCCCGUAUUUGGUUAUUCAUUCUAGCUUUGUGAUACACUUUCAAAGAGUCGGAUUGUUUGGGAAUGCAGUCCAAAAUGGGUGGUAAAUUUCAUCUAAAGCUAAAUAUUGGCGAGAGACCGAUAGCGAACAAGUACCGUGAGGGAAAGAUGAAAAGAACUUUGAAAAGAGAGUUAAACAGUACGUGAAAUUGUCAAAAGGGAAGCGUUUGACACCAGUGUUGUUUUUCCGAAAAUCAAUUACGAAUGGCUUGAUUCUGUGUUGUAUUGACCUUAUCAGCUUUCUUCACUUUUUUCGAGUCUUUCUUAAUGCACUUUUCGGUUAACAAGUCAACAUCAAUUUCUUUUGUUGUAAAAGAGUAUUCGGAAGGUGGCUUUCUUUUCGGAGAAAGUGUUUAUAGCCCUAUACUUCUACAAUCGGAGAGAUUGAGGUCUGCAGCGUAGAUCCUUCGGGGUUAGAUACAUUUGUGCUAAGUUGUAGCUUUUCAUAGACAACUUGUUGACUAUGUUUAGUCAUGCGGCUUACUCGCUUAUGCUAUUUUACCUACGCUUAGGAUGUUGAAGAUGUAGCACAUCAU
rnacentral:rRNA from 1 species